GAUGAACGCUGGCGGCGUGCUUAACACAUGCAAGUCGAACGGUGAAGCAGGAGCUUGCUCCUGUGGAUCAGUGGCGAACGGGUGAGUAACACGUGAGCAAUCUGCCCUGGACUCUGGGAUAAGCGUUGGAAACGACGUCUAAUACCGGAUACGAGGCGCGGGGGCAUCCCCAGCGCCUGGAAAGAUUUAUCGCCGAAAGAGCGGCCCGCGUUAGAUUAGCUAGUUGGUGAGGUAAAGGCUCACCAAGGCUACGAUCUGUAGCUGGUCUGAGAGGACGACCAGCCACACUGGGACUGAGACACGGCCCAGACUCCUACGGGAGGCAGCAGUGGGGAAUUUUGGACAAUGGGCGCAAGCCUGAUCCAGCAAUGCCGCGUGCAGGAUGAAGGCCUUCGGGUUGUAAACUGCUUUUGUACGGAGCGAAAAGGCUCUCUCUAAUACAGGGGGCUCAUGACGGUACCGUAAGAAUAAGCACCGGCUAACUACGUGCCAGCCGCCGCCGUAACAC
rnacentral:rRNA from 1 species